GGGGUUGUGGCUCAGUGGUAGAGCACUUGCCUAGCAUGUAUGAGGCACUAGGUUCAAUCCUCAGCCCCA
rnacentral:tRNA from 1 species